GGCCUGGUAGCCAAGCGGUAAGGCGGCGGUCUGCAAAACCGCUAUGCGAGGGUUCGAUUCCCUCCCAGGCCUCCA
rnacentral:tRNA from 1 species